AUGAGAGGUCACUUAGCUUUUCUGAAGGUGGAGCAGUGGGAGUGGCUCUACAUCUCUCCACUUCCUUCCGCUGAGGUCAGCCCAUUACUGAAAUUAAUCCUACAAUCUAACCAUCCUAACUCCGGUGAAGCUGCAACAGCAGCACCACAGACUAUCUCUGUAAGCUGGUCCCAGUCACUGCAGAGGAAACCAGAAGGAUGGCUUUGGAGGAGGCUUGCUGUUUCAGAUUCUUCACCCACUGUCCCCGGCUGCUGCACCCCUGCACCUCCACGUCUGCCCCCUGCCCGGGGCCAGGGCCCAGCAGUCAUGACAGACACCCCAGUGGAGGAAUCCCUCUUCCAAAUCAUCCACUGCUUCCACCAGUAUGCAGCCCGGCAAGGCGAUGUGGAGACCCUGUCCCUGCAGGAGUUGCAGGCCCUGCUUGUGGACAACGUGCCCCGCUUCAUGGACAGCUUGGGCCGGAAGGAGCCGUACUAUAUCACAGAACUGUUCCAGGCUGCAGACAAGAACAAGGACAACCAGAUCUGCUUCGAUGAGUUCCACUACAUCUUGGGAAAGCUGGUGAAGGACUACCACCUGCAGUACCACCGGCAGCUGUGCGCUCACCACUGUGCUCAACACAGCCUCUACUAGAGGGAGCUCAGGCAGCCUCCUGCCCACCGGAGCCUGACCCAGGAGGAGGUGUGGCCUGCCUAUCAGGAACUGAAUGGAGAACCCAGCUGUGUGUGUCUCUGUGUGUGUGCACGUAUCUGUACAUGUCCGUGAAAAGGAGAGCAGUGUGAGAGAGAAUAAAGCAAUUUCAUACAUAUUUCCA
rnacentral:lncRNA from 1 species